rnacentral:rRNA from 1 species
CUGUUUGAUCCUGCCAGUAGUCAUAUGCUUGUCUCAAAGACUAAGCCAUGCAUGUCUAAGUAUAAACGUUUCCAUACUUGUGAAACUGCGAAUGGCUCAUUAAAUCAGUUAUAGUUUAUUUGAUGGUUCCUUACUACUUGGAUAACCGUAGUAAUUCUAGAGCUAAUACAUGCAGAAAGUCCCGACUUCUGGAAGGGAUGUAUUUAUUAGAUCCAAAACCAGCGCGAGUUGCCUCCGGGUGGCUCGGUUGCUUGGUGAUUCAUGAUAACUGCUCGAAUCGCAUGGCCUUGUGCCGGCGAUGAUCCAUUCAAAUUUCUGCCCUAUCAACUUUCGAUGGCAAGGUAGUGGCUUGCCAUGGUGACAACGGGUGACGGAGAAUUAGGGUUCGAUUCCGGAGAGGGAGCCUGAGAAACGGCUACCACAUCCAAGGAAGGCAGCAGGCGCGCAAAUUACCCAAUCCCGACUCGGGGAGGUAGUGACAAUAAAUAACAAUGCUGGGCUAUCGUAGUCUGGCAAUUGGAAUGAGUACAAU